AGCGAACGCUGGCGGCAGGCCUAACACAUGCAAGUCGAACGGACCCUUCGGGGUUAGUGGCGGACGGGUGAGUAACACGUGGGAACGUACCUUUAGGUUCGGAAUAGCUCCUGGAAACGGGUGGUAAUGCCGAAUGUGCCCUUCGGGGGAAAGAUUUAUCGCCUUUAGAGCGGCCCGCGUCUGAUUAGCUAGUUGGUGAGGUAAUGGCUCACCAAGGCGACGAUCAGUAGCUGGUCUGAGAGGAUGACCAGCCACAUUGGGACUGAGACACGGCCCAAACUCCUACGGGAGGCAGCAGUGGGGAACUUUGCGCAAUGGGCGAAAGCCUGACGCAGCCAUGCCGCGUGAAUGAUGAAGGUCUUAGGAUUGUAAAAUUCUUUCACCGGGGACGAUAAUGACGGUACCCGGAGAAGAAGCCCCGGCUAACUUCGUGCCAGCCGCCGCGGUAAAAC
rnacentral:rRNA from 1 species